CGCGUGAGUGAAGAAGGCCUUCGGGUUGUAAAGCUCUUUUGUCAGGGAAGAAACGGUGAGAGCUAAUAUCUCUUGCUAAUGACGGUACCUGAAGAAUAAGCACCGGCUAACUACGUGCCAGCAGCCGCGGUAAUACGUAGGGUGCAAGCGUUAAUCGGAAUUACUGGGCGUAAAGCGUGCGCAGGCGGUUUUGUAAGUCUGAUGUGAAAUCCCCGGGCUCAACCUGGGAAUUGCAUUGGAGACUGCAAGGCUAGAAUCUGGCAGAGGGGGGUAGAAUUCCACGUGUAGCAGUGAAAUGCGUAGAUAUGUGGAGGAACACCGAUGGCGAAGGCAGCCCCCUGGGUCAAGAUUGACGCUCAUGCACGAAAGCGUGGGGAGCAAACAGGAUUAGAUACCCUGGUAGUCCACGCCCUAAACGAUGUCUACUAGUUGUCGGGUCUUAAUUGACUUGGUAACGCAGCUAACGCGUGAAGUAGACCGCCUGGGGAGUACGGUCGCAAGAUUAAAACUCAAAGGAAUUGACGG
rnacentral:rRNA from 1 species